UGUAAUAAGAGAGGACUGGGAUAUAGGUGAGGUGGACAAAGACACAGACAUAAGACGGAUCCAAACAGGAUAAUCGAGUGGGAGGUAUUGUUAAUUAUACUCCGAUGAAAAACAAUGUCUAUGCAUCUGGUUACUUAUAGAUAUUUAAUCGGCAAUCAUGUUAUAGAUACAACUGAGUCUCGCUGGAAACAUUUCCGACUUUUUCAAGAAGCAUACAUGGCAUAGAUCGAAUAUGAGCCACACAUGUUGACUAUUGAAAAAUGAAUGACGUGAGAACACUAGUAGUACUAAAAGUACUUUAUUGGUAGACAUUAGAACAAACUGAGAUAUUAUAUAUACUUUUCUGUGAAGUGGAAACCGAAAAAUACUCAAGAAAUACAAUUAAAAUCUCUUAACUUAUUUUCUCCACAGUGGAAACAUUGACGAAUGUUAUAAAAGUGUGCACUUUGACAGCGCUGUCUCGAAUCAAAAAGUUUCGUACAUGGUUUCGUAUCACGUUAUACCGGGUUGUCGCUAUCACUAACAGCCCUAUUAUGAGAAAACCUCACAUCUGAUUUGCGAAGAAAAAUUUGUUUUUUGUGAAGUUAUUCUUGCUCAAGCCUCACAACAAAAAGGCACAAAAAACUCACCGCAUGAGGUGAAAAGCAUUUUUCUGUGAACCAGCUGUCUUACAAAAAAAUACAAGACAAAAUAAAGAAGUGGACAACCAAGAAAAACAUCGCAAAUUGUUGAAGAUAUUGUCAGCAUUUGAGCUUUUGAAAUCAUCUCAGCAUACGGAAACCCUCACAAAUAACAAAAAUAGAAUGAAUUUCGAUGGUGACCUUGUGGAAGAAAUGGAUUCCAAAGGGAAUGCUCACAACCUCGAGCCCCCAUAGAGGUUGUAUUGACCAUAAAUAUUUUGAAUUUUUUAAUAAUAUUUUUUUACAAAUAAAGUGUUUAAAAAAAAAUAUGUUAUAAUCUUGUGUGCGUUCCUCCAGAAUAACCAUCGAAAAUUGUGGUACCUUCACCAUCGUCUAACGGCCUCGCAGGUGUAAUGUAUUAUUAUUAUGUAAAUAUAGUAGUAUUUGCUUUAAAAAUAUUUUUAUGUAUUUCAGAUAUAGUCCAGAAGCUGGAUGCAAUUGAGACACGGGUAGCAAAACUGAUAAGUGGUGUUGAUGACCGUCUCAGUGCCUUAGAAGGGCCCUAAAAGACAAAUUUUAUUAAAAAAUAAAGCAGAAGCUAGAUUUCAUAUUUUCAUCUCCUUGAUGCCAGAUAAGGUCGAGGUGCAAGCGAAAAGUAAACUACGUAUUGUGCGAAUGCCGCGCCAUAGCGGCAAAGACGCACCCCUCAAUUAGCAGCAUUGCAAUUCUAUUGCUUAUGUGGAGCUCAUUUCGAAACGACCAUGUCAUCGGAAGAGCAAAGGGAAAGCACGGAUGCUUUGAUCCGGCUAAUAUUGAAGGUAAAAGGCGCAAAAGGCAGUGUUGACAGCGUAAUGCGUGGUCUGUUUUCAGACAAUGUAAUGUACCAUUAUAAUUUAGAGGAGUACAAAGAGAAGAAAUUCCUAUUAAGCUUAAGUGCGUAAGGUUAGUUUUUGAUAGAUCUUAAUAUUAACGUUUUUCUUUAGAUAUAUUUCCCGACAAGGAAAAAAAUACAAUCUGUGAUGAGUUUCGGAUUUUGUGGCCUAAAUCCACAAUAGAUUUAAACAAAAAAAAUAUAAACUUAAGGCUAAAUUUUAGUUUUUGAAUUAUUUAAAUUGUUAAUUAAUUUUAAUGUAUAGCUAA